GAAACUUGUGUCAAAGUCCUCAAUAUGGCAAUGCAACUAUACCCAAUAUUAUGACUGAGGGAAACAAACACAGCUGAUGUUUACUCACAUGGGUUAUACUCUUUCAACUUUUGAGCAACUUUGUCAACAAAACACUUCCAGUCAAAUUUUGCCCGUUCAAAAUUCUCCGCUCUUGGAUUUCGAUGUAAAUUUGAUGCUGUAACGGCCGAUUCAACGCUUUGCGAGUCAAAAAGG
rnacentral:sRNA from 1 species